UUAGCUCAGUUGGGAGAGCGCCUGCCUUACAAGCAGGUGGUCGGGGGUUCAAGUCCCUCAGCGCCCACCA
rnacentral:tRNA from 1 species